CAGAGAUGCUUUAGUGCCUUCGGGAACUCUGAGACAGGUGCUGCAUGGCUGUCGUCAGCUCGUGUUGUGAGAUGUUGGGUUAAGUCCCGNAACGAGCGCAACCCUUAUCCUUUGUUGCCAGCACGUAAUGGUGGGAACUCAAAGGAGACUGCCGGUGAUAAACCGGAGGAAGGUGGGGAUGACGUCAAGUCAUCAUGGCCCUUACGAGUAGGGCUACACACGUGCUACAAUGGCGCAUACAAAGAGAAGCGACCUCGCGAGAGCAAGCGGACCUCAUAAAGUGCGUCGUAGUCCGGAUUGGAGUCUGCAACUCGACUCCAUGAAGUCGGAAUCGCUAGUAAUCGUAAAUCAGAAUGUUACGGUGAAUACGUUCCCGGGCCUUGUACACACCGCCCGUCACACCAUGGGAGUGGGUUGCAAAAGAAGUAGAUAGCUUAACCUUCGGGAGGGCGUUUACCACUUUGUGAUUCAUGACUGGGGUGAAGUCGUAACAAGGUAAGCGUAGUGCU
rnacentral:rRNA from 1 species